rnacentral:guide_RNA from 1 species
AAAAAAGAAUACCUAAUAAAAUUGUAGGAUAUAGAUGUAUGUGAUGGU